GGGCAUGUAGCUCAACGGUAGAGCUGUCGUCUUAUACACGACCGGUUCCUGGUUCGAAUCCAGGCGUGCCCACCA
rnacentral:tRNA from 9 species